GAAGGUAUAGCUCAGUGGUAGAGUGUGUGCUUAGCGUGCAUGCAGUCCUGGGUUCAACCCCCAGUACCUUCA
rnacentral:tRNA from 1 species